rnacentral:lncRNA from 1 species
CUUCCCCGGCCACGACCCUGAACCCAUCCGGAGCUCCUCCAACCCCCAACCCCGGGGCGGGGCCUUCCGGGAGGGAUCGGCGGAGCCAUGGAGAAACCGUGGGGGGAGAGCCGCCCUACUGAGGGCCGUUACGAGGAUCCUAAUGGGGAUCCCGAUGAGGAUCACUAUAGGGACUCCGAUGAGGAUUUGUAUGAGUUCCCCGAUGAGGGCCCCGACGAUGGCCCGGAGGUACUGGGGGGUCCUAUGGGGUCCUAUGGGGUCCUGUGGGAUCCUAUGGAGUUCUAUGGGGUCCUAUGGGGUCCUAGACCCACAUUAUAGGGUCCUAUGGGGUCCUGGACCCACACUAUGGGGUCCUGUGGGGUCCUAUGGGGUCCUGGACCCACACUAUGGGGUCCUGUGGGGUCCUAUGGAGUCCUGGACCCAAAUAAAUGGGGUCCUAUGGGGUCCUGGACCCACACUAUGGGGUCCUGUGGGGUCCUAUGGGGUCCUGGACCCACACUAUGGGGUCCUGUGGGGUCCUAUGGAGUCCUGGACCCAAAUAAAUGGGUUCCUAUGGGGUCCUGGACCCACAUUAUAGGGUCCUAUGGUGUCCUAUGGGGUCCUGGACCCACAUUAUAGGAUUCUAUGAGGUCCUGUGGGGUCCUAUGGGGUAUUGGAC